rnacentral:snRNA from 1 species
GAAGACAAUCGAUUGACCAUAAA